GAACGCUAGCGGCAGGCUUAACACAUGCAUGUCGAGGGGCAGCAUGAUGAAACUUUCGGGUUUCAUUGAUGGCGACCGGCGCAAGGGUGCGUAACGCGUGAGCAACUUGCCCUUAUCAGGGGGAUAACCGGUGGAAACGCCGACUAAUACCCCAUAGUAUCAACUUUAGGCAUCUUUAGUUGAUUAAAGAAAUUCGGAUAAGGAUAGGCUCGCGUGACAUUAGCUAGAUGGCGGGGUAACGGCCCACCAUGGCGACGAUGUCUAGGGGUUCUGAGAGGAAGGUCCCCCACACUGGAACUGAGACACGGUCCAGACUCCUACGGGAGGCAGCAGUGAGGAAUAUUGGUCAAUGGCCGAGAGGCUGAACCAGCCAUGCCGCGUGAAGGUCACGGCCCUAUGGGUCUUAAACUUCUUUUGUAAGGGAGCAAUAAGUCUCACGUGUGGGAUGAUGAGAGUACCUUACGAAUAAGCAUCGGCUAACUCCGUG
rnacentral:rRNA from 1 species